UUCGGGUCGCCGGCGAGUGGCGAACGGGUGAGUAACGCGUGGAUACCUGUCUCGUGGUGGGGAAUAACGUUUAGAAAUGAACGCUAAUACCGCAUAAGCCCUGCGGGGGAAAGAUUUAUCGCCAUGAGAGGGGUCCGCGUCGGAUUAGCUAGUUGGUGGGGUAACGGCCUACCAAGGCGACGAUCCGUAGCUGGUCUGAGAGGAUGAUCAGCCACACUGGGACUGAGACACGGCCCAGACUCCUACGGGAGGCAGCAGUGGGGAAUAUCGCGCAAUGGAGGAAACUCUGACGCAGCGACGCCGCGUGGGUGAAGAAGGCCUUAGGGUUGUAAAGCCCUUUCAGUGGGAAAGAUGAUGACGGUACCCACAGAAGAAGCCCCGGCUAACUCCGUGCCAGCAGCCGCGGUAAUACGGAGGGGGCCAGCGUUGUUCGGAAUUACUGGGCGUAAAGGGCGCGUAGGCGGUUGAUCAAG
rnacentral:rRNA from 1 species